AAAAGAGUCAAGACACUCGCAAUCCUUUGGCUUCUUUGUACAAGAGUGUGACAAACUACCAACUUCAUGUAACGGCCUAAACGUCUCUGCUCCAAAUCUUAAGCGCCUCACUUUCUCCUCCCUCCUCUUUUCUUCAUUUCUUGGUUGGAUUCUGCUGUUCCAUCGGCUUCUUUAUAUCUUUUUUCAGGUCUACUCUGUUUCCUCUGAAUCCUACAACUUGGCAUCACAAACCCUUAUUUUUAUUUUUAUUUUUAAUCUAUUUCUUUGUUAUUUCCAACCAGUUGAUCAAAUUAUCUCUGGGAUUUUCGGGUAUUCAAUUAUAUACUUCUUAUCAAUCUGGCAUUUGCAUUGAACUCUGUUUUGAUUUGGAACUUUAACAACAAAUUGACAUAUAGCAAUCGAAAGCGACCAAAUAUUUUCAGAAAUGAAUCCGUUGUACCCGGUGAAGGAAGUCCCUCCUGGAAUGGGUUCAUCGGACCCGGGCGGCUACCCGCCAAAGAUGCCUCCACCACAGCCAAAGGAGGGCCUUCAUUACGUAGGACCUCCACCAUUCUUGACCAAGACCUUUGACAUGGUUGAUGACCCAACUACCAAUCACAUGGUUUCUUGGAGCAGGGGAGGCAGCAGCUUUGUUGUGUGGGAUCCUCAUUCAUUCUCCACAAAUCUCCUCCGGAGAUACUUCAAGCACAACAAUUUCUCAAGCUUUGUCAGGCAGCUCAACACUUAUGGCUUUAGGAAGAUUGAUCCAGAUAGAUGGGAGUUUGCCAAUGAUGGUUUUCUCAGGGGCCAGCGACAUCUUCUGAGGAACAUCAAGAGAAGAAAGGCACCCUCUCAACCUUUCCCUCCACAACAUGCUCUGGGUCCCUUUGUUGAGGUUGGCCAGUUUGGAGUAGAUGGAGAAAUCGAUCGUCUGAGGCGUGACAAGCAUGUUCUAAUGAUGGAACUAGUGAAGCUUAGGCAGCAGCAGCAGAAUACUAGAGGCUACCUUCAAGUAAUGGACCAAAGGUUACAAGGGACAGAAAGGAGGCAAAAGCAAAUGAUGUCCUUCUUAGCAAGAGCGAUGCAAAACCCAACCUUUCUCCAGCAGCUCGUCCAACAGAAGGAGAAGAGAAAGGAACUAGAAGAAGUCAUGACUAAGAAAAGGAGGUCAAUUGAUCGAGGACCUAGUUCUGUUGGUGGUGGCGACUCAAGUCGGACUGGUGAAGGAUUAAAACCCAUUAAACCUGAGCCUCUUGAAUUUGCAGUAUCAGAGCUUGAAGCGCAAGCAUUGGAAAUGCUAGGAUUGGGUAGGGAAAGAAAGGAGCAUGACAAAGAAAAGGAAGAUCUAGAGCCACUGGAGAGUAGGGAUAGAGAACUUGAUGAGGGCUUUUGGGAAGAAUUAUUCAGUGAGGCUCUUGAGGAAGAAUUAAGCAUAGUGGGUGAUGAAGGAGAAUAGCCAGACUUUUUGUGCAUUAAUGCUACUUGUACUCUUCAGUUCACUGCCUCGAUGACCUAUUCUUUGGUAGCUUUUGCUAGUUGUUGCUAAUCUCUCUUUUAUUUUUCUUUUUUCUGAGCAAUACAGGAGAGGGGAAGAAAGAAAAAGAAAACAAAGGGGAAUUACAAGGAUAAUAACCAGAAGAACUAUGUGCCGCAGCCCAUUUGGCCGGUAGAUGGGCACGAAGAUUAGCAACCAGUUGUUGCUAAUCUCUCAUUUUGUGUAGUUUGGGUCUUAAAAAUGGGAAUAUGCCAUAACAUUGAUCUGGAUUUCUUGCUAUUGGCAGGACAGGAGAAGUAACAAGCAGUGUAUCCAUGGAAAUAUUUGGUGUUUCUAACCCUCUAUUUAACUUGUUUUUCCUCUUGUACGUCCCCCCCACCUCUUAUUAUUCUAUUUCUUGGUUAGGGUGCAGGCAUUGCUUGGCAGAGUCUGGUAGUUCUUAUCAUGAUUGUCUCAAGAUUGUUCAGGAACUGUUGAAACUGGAAAAGCUGUAGCCGCAUGCUCAAAGAAUCACAAUUAAAUGUUGCUUCUGAAUACAAAUAUCUGUCGAUUUUUCCGUGCCAUGGCAAUUUGGUUCUCAUGAUCAGUCGUUGUCCUCAGCACUGGCUCUGAAGUGGUAACUUAUUGCAUUCUUUAUACCAUAACGAGACAAAUCUUUUCCGAGUAAUGCUAUAUAUUACACUUCUAUCUCACUCCCAUCCACAUCAGCCAUGUGAGAUACAAGCGAAAUGGAGGUGGUGUAUUUAGCAUUACUCAUCUUUUCCUAACUAUUCUAUUCAUUUUGUUGACGUCCUACAGAUCAAUACAGGAAUGCUAUAUAGUAGAAUAUAUAACUAGGUUGGAGUCCAGAUUGUGAUUCUUCCUACAAUGCAAUAUGGUUGCCUCACGACAAAGAGCAAUAUAUUUUUCUGCACUGUACUUCGUUUUUUAGGGCAGAUGUUCUUACAUCGAAGUUUGGAGGAGUACUUUCGCCCCACCUUUUUCCUUUCCACCCGGCAUUCUCAGGUGUCUAAGGAAAAAAUACAAAUAAAUCCAUCACUUUUAAGGCUUAAAACACAAAUCAUGAAGGCUACAGGAAAUUGAGCUCGAGCGCAAUUGAAAUUGGGCUCUAGCGCAAUGGAUCAAGCACAUACACCAGCAGGAACCCACAAGAUGGUGAGCUCGAGCACAAUCAUGCUACAGAAAUUGACAGUAAGACAAAAUAAAAAGUUUUUUAAAAAAAAAAUGGAAGAGUUUUCAUUCUCCUACUUAGACUAGGGUUGCUCUUGUACUCUAUAAAUAGACCUCUAAUUCGUGCUUUAAAGGUAUACUACAUUACAUAGAAGAAAUCAAUAAGAUUAGUGGCUAUGUUUUAGGAGAAAAGUGCUUCAAAGUUCCUGAAACUUCUUGGGAUGGAAUUCUCCUCAACAAAGGCGAUUUCCAACAUCUCCAUGAGUGGCUAAAUCAUCCGUAAAGUAUUAAUGUAUCAUUUUUCAAGUAAUUAUGGUGUAAUUAUGUUUGACUUUGAGAAUUCUAUGAACAUGAAUGAUGGUUGUUUAAUCUUGAAA